rnacentral:sRNA from 1 species
UGUCACCCCAUUGAUUGCCAGGGUUGAUUCUGCUGAUGGUUUGGCUGGAAAGGUG